GUCUACAGCCAUACCACACUGAAUGUACCCAGUCUCAUCUGAUCUUGGAACCUAAGCAAGGUUGGGCCUGGUUAGUACUGUAUUGGAGAAAGAAUCAGGAGAACUAGGUUCUUCUGACU
ensembl:rRNA 5S_rRNA 5S ribosomal RNA